rnacentral:rRNA from 1 species
AUCCAGACUCCUACGGGAGGCAGCAGUGGGGAAUAUUGGGCAAUGGAGGAAACUCUUACCCAGCAAUGCCGCGUGAAUGAAGAAGGUCUUCGGAUUGUAAAGUUCUUUAAUUGGGGACGAAAAAAAUGACGGUACCCAAGGAAUAAGCCCCGGCUAACUACGUGCCAGCAGCCGCGGUAAUACGUAGGGGGCAAGCGUUAUCCGGAUUUAUUGGGUUUAAAGGGUGCGUAGGCGGUCCGUUAAGUCAGCGGAAAAAUUGCGGGGCUCAACCCUGUCGAGCCGUUGAAACUGGCAGACUUGAGUUGGCGAGAAGUACGCGGAAUGCGCGGUGUAGCGGUGAAAUGCAUAGAUAUCGCGCAGAACUCCGAUUGCGAAGGCAGCGUACCGGCGCCAGACUGACGCUGAGGCACGAAAGCGUGGGGAUCGAACAGGAUUAGAUACCCUAGUA